rnacentral:rRNA from 1 species
GAGUUUGAUCCUGGCUCAGGAUAAACGCUGGCGGCGCACAUAAGACAUGCAAGUCGAACGAACUUAAUUCAUUCUUUUAGAUUGGAAGCGGUUAGUGGCGGACUGGUGAGUAACGCGUGAGCAACCUGCCUAUUAGAGGGGAAUAACAGUGAGAAAUCAUUGCUAAUACCGCAUAUGCUUACACUAUUGCAUGAUAGAGUAAGGAAAGGAGCAAUCCGCUAAUAGAUGGGCUCGCGUCUGAUUAGCUAGUUGGUGGGGUAGAAGCCUACCAAGGCGACGAUCAGUAGCCGGACUGAGAGGUUGAACGGCCACAUUGGGACUGAGAUACGGCCCAGACUCCUACGGGAGGCAGCAGUCGGGAAUAUUGCGCAAUGGAGGAAACUCUGACGCAGUGACGCCGCGUAUAGGAAGAAGGUUUUCGGAUUGUAAACUAUUGUCGUUAGGGAAGAAAAAAGACAGUACCUAAGGAGGAAGCCCCGGCUAACUAUGUGCCAGCAGCCGCGGUAAUACAUAGGGGGCAAGCGUUAUCCGGAAUUAUUGGGUGUAAAGGGUGCGUAGACGGGUGUUUAAGUUGGUUGUGAAAUCCCUCGGCUCAACUGAGGAACUGCAACCAAAACUGGAUAUCUUGAGUGUC